rnacentral:rRNA from 1 species
UACGAAGGGGGCUAGCGUUGUUCGGAAUACUGGGCGUAAAGCGUGCGCAGGCGGCUUCUCAAGUCAGGGGGUGAAAGCCCAGAGCUCAACUCUGGAAUUGCCUUUGAGACUGAGUGGCUUGAGUACGAGAGAGGUGAGUGGAAUUCCCAGUGUAGAGGUGAAAAUUCGUAGAUAUUGGGAAGAACACCGGUGGCGAAGGCGGCUCACUGGCUCGUAACUGACGCUCA